rnacentral:rRNA from 1 species
AUGGCGCCGGCGCGAGGAGCGGGAGGCGGCGGCAACGCCGCCGCCGCCGCCCCGAAGAGGGUGCCGAUGUACCGGCUGUUCGCGUUCGCGGACCGGCGGGACGCGGCGCUGAUGGCGGUCGGCGCCGCGGCGGCCAUGGCCAACGGCGUCGCGAUGCCCUUCCUCGCCUUCCUCGUCGGCGACCUCGUCGACGCCUUCGGCCCCGCCCACCGCGCCGACCUCGUCCACGCCGUCUCCAAGGUUGCUGUCAGAUUUGUGUAUCUAGCAUCAGCUUCUGGAGUAGCAGGGUUUCUUCAGGUGUCAUGCUGGAUGGUGACUGGAGAAAGACAGGCUGCACGCAUCCGUGGGCUGUACCUCGAGACCAUACUUAGACAAGAUAUAUCAUUUUUCGAUGUGGAGACGUCAACUGGAGAAGUUAUUGAAAGGAUGUCUAGUGACACAGUGUUAAUUCAAGAUGCAAUUGGAGAAAAGGUGGGCAAGUUUCUCCAACUGGUAUCAACAUUUCUGGGUGGAUUUAUCAUCGCAUUUACAAGAGGCUGGCUUCUGUCCCUUGUUAUGUUGUCAAGUAUUCCUCCUGUUGUAGCAGCUGCUGCAGUCAUGUCACUUGUUCUAUCAAAGUUAUCAAACCGUUCCCAGAUGGCCUAUGCUGAAGCAGGGAAAGUGGUUGAACAAACAAUAGGAUCAAUCAGAACGGUGAUAUCUUUCACUGGAGAGAGCAGAGCAAUUAGUGAAUACAAAGAGCAUUUGAAAAUAUCAUACAAGUCAGCAGUCCACCAGGGUAUUGCCGGGGGGCUUGGAGUUGGUUCACUUCUGCUUAUUGUUUUCUGCAGCUAUGGAUUAGCUGUAUGGUAUGGUGCAAAGCUGAUUAUUGAAAAGGGAUAUACUGGUGGCUAUAUCAUUAAUGUGUUGAUGGCCAUCAUGACUGGUGCAAUGGCUCUUGGCCAGUCUUCUCCAUGCUUAACUGCUUUUGCAUCAGGACAGAUUGCGGCUCACAAAAUGUUUGCAACCAUUUAUAGAAAACCUGAGAUUGACGCGAGUGAUAAGAGUGGCCUUAUAUUGGAGAACUUUGUUGGAAAUGUUGAGUUGAAAGAUGUCCAUUUCAGUUACCCUGCACGACCUGAGCAACUUAUCUUCAAUGGCUUCUCUAUAAGCAUUCCAACUGGCAUGACGGUGGCACUGGUUGGGGAGAGUGGAAGCGGGAAAUCUACUGUAAUUGGCUUGGUAGAGAGAUUCUAUGAUCCACAAUCAGGUGAAAUUCUUUUGGAUGGUGUUAAUCUGAAACAGCUAAACCUUAGCUGGGUAAGACAGAAAAUAGGGCUUGUUAGCCAAGAACCUAUUCUUUUCACAACUACUAUAAGAGAAAACAUAGAAUAUGGAAAGAAGGGUGCGACAGAGGAAGAAAUUAGGAGGUCAACUGUGCUUGCUAAUGCUGCGAAGUUCAUCGACAAGUUACCAAAUGGACUGGAUACAAUGGUUGGUGAGCAUGGAACACAACUAUCUGGUGGACAGAAACAAAGGAUUGCAAUCGCAAGAGCAAUUUUGAAGAACCCCAGCAUACUACUUCUUGAUGAAGCUACAAGCGCACUUGAUGCCGAGUCUGAGCAUGUAGUUCAAGAUGCACUAAAUAAUAUCAUGGUUAACAGAACCACAAUAGUUGUAGCACAUCGCCUGAGCACUAUAAAAAAUGCUGAUACAAUAUCAGUGCUACAUCGGGGACAGCUUGUGGAGCAAGGGCCACAUGUUGAGUUGAUAAAGGAUCCCGAUGGAGCCUACUCCCAACUUUUAAGGCUGCAAGAGGUUAAUACGAAAAGGGAGGGAUCUCAUGGAGAUGACUCCAUCAGGUUACAAUCAGCAUCUGAUGCUGCAAAUUCUGCAAGUCAACAUAGCAGUAUAAAGCCAUCCUUUGGGAGAUCUAUGAGUAGAUAUUCACCACAGGGUGGAAGCAGAAUAAACUCGCAAACAUUCUCAUUGCAUGAACAUGAAACCGAAGGGGUUGAUGAUGCCAAGUCAGGGAAGAAAGUGAUCAGACGCCUGCUCUACCUCCAUAAGCCUGAGGUUCCAAUCCUUCUGUUAGGAUGCACUGCUGCUGCAGCCAAUGGUGCUAUACUUCCGGUGUUUGGCAUGCUGCUUUCAAGUGCCAUUAACACAUUCUAUGAACCGCCACAACAAUUGCGAAAAGACUCUGUAUUCUGGGCAGAGAUGUAUGUGAUGUUGGGUGUCAUCUCCAUCUUUGUCAUCCCAUUGCAAUACGCUUUGUUCAACAUGGCAGGUGGUAAACUUAUCGAGCGCAUACGUGCGGUUUCAUUUAGUCGGGUUGUUUACCAGGAAAUAGGAUGGUUCGAUGACCCUCUGAACAGCAGCGGCGCAAUAGGCUCCAGACUAUCAGGGGAUGCGGCGUCUGUUAAAAGCAUUGCUGGGGAUGUCUUGUCAUUGAUAGUGCAAAGCAUAAGCACUGCUGUUGUCGGUAUCGUAAUAGCCAUGAUUGCAAACUGGAAACUAGCAUGCAUUGUAUUGUGCUUCCUUCCUUGCGUGAUUGCACAGAGCUAUGCUCAAACGAGGUUAAUGAGGGGUUUUGGUGCUGAUGCCAAGGAAAUGUAUGAACAAGCGAGCACAAUUGCUACUGAUGCCAUCGGUAACAUCAGAACUGUUGCUUCAUUUUGUGCAGAAGAGAAGAUAAUUGAAAGCUACCGAAAGAAAUGUGAAGGUCCUGUGAAACAAGGAGUUCGUCAGGGGGCUAUAAGUGGCGUGGGUUAUGGAUUGUCAUUCGCGUUGCUCUUCUGUUUUUAUGCCAUAUCCUUUUACGUUGGAGCUCGCUUUGUACACAAUGGGACUGCAGAAGUUGGGCAAGUCUUCAGGGUCUUCUUCGCUUUAACCAUGAUGGCUGUUGGAGUUUCUCAGUCGAGUUCCCUUGCUCGGGAUUUUGCCAAAGUGCAAAAUGCAGCUGCCUCCAUUCUCAAGAUUAUUGAUAGGAAAUCCAAGAUUGAUGCAAGCCAUGAGGUAGGAACGACACUAGAGGCAGUGGAAGGCAAUAUAGAGUUGCAGCACGUGAGCUUCAAGUACCCUGCUCGGACAGACGUGCAAAUCUUCAGAGAUUUGUGCUUGAGGAUACCAUCUGGCAAGACUAUUGCACUUGUCGGGGAAAGCGGAAGUGGGAAAUCUACGGUGAUAGCCUUGAUCGAGAGGUUCUACGAUCCUGACUCUGGCUGCAUCUUUCUAGAUGGGGUGGAUCUGAAGAGCCUCAAGCUCACCUGGCUCAGGCAGCAGAUUGGUCUGGUAGGCCAAGAGCCGGUCCUCUUCAAUGACACCAUCAGAGCAAACAUCGCCUACGGCAAGAUGGAGCAGGUAUCCGAGGAUGAGAUCAUUGCCGUUGCCAAGGCCGCCAACGCCGACAGGUUCAUCUCCACCCUCCCAAACGGGUACGACACGAGCGUCGGCGAGCGCGGGGUGCAGAUGUCGGGUGGUCAGAAGCAGCGGAUAGCCAUCGCCAGGGCGAUCCUCAAGAACCCCAAGCUGCUGCUCCUGGACGAGGCGACCAGCGCGCUGGACGCGGAGUCGGAGCGCAUCGUGCAGGAGGCCCUGGACAGGGUGACGGUCGGGAGAACAACCGUGGUCGUGGCUCACCGGCUGUCGACUAUCACCGCCGCCGACAAGAUUGCAGUGGUCAAGAACGGGGUGGUCGCCGAGGAAGGGCGGCAUGAGCAGCUCCUUCGCCUGCCCGGUGGUGCCUACGCGUCCCUAGUUGCCUUGCAGUCUAGCAGUUCCUGA